rnacentral:ncRNA from 2 species
GAAAAGCCCUGGGGGAGUUUAUUACUGAGAGUCCUGUUGCGGGACGACCCUUAGAACCUGAUCCGGGUUAUACCGGCGUAGGGAAGCGGCACUUUAUACGG